rnacentral:lncRNA from 1 species
GAUGUGAUUGGAUGCCUUGUAAUUAAUGGGCUCUACAUAAUAUCAAAGGACAUCACUAGGUACUCCUAUUUCAAAAUUCGAUCAGGAACGCUUUCACAUGCCUAUUCACUGACAGAAUGCCCAGAUUUCUCAAAUCUGUAUGUGGAAGUGAAUCAGCGCACACGCCCAAGCACACACCUGUUCCCUCCAAACCAUGCAGUCCGCAUCUUAAUUAUCACCAUUUCCUUUCACAAGCUAGCACGCAACAAUUAAAUGUUUGCCCUAGAGAAGAUGCAAAAUUGAAUUAAUUAUUUUUCAAAGCUAUUGAUAGUAUUAAUAAAAAAAAUCGAAGAAAACAAGAAAAACCCACC